rnacentral:tRNA from 1 species
AUCUAAAUAGCUUAUAUAGAGUAUAGCAUUGAAGAUGCUAGGGAAAUAAAAUUAUUUUUAGAUA